rnacentral:lncRNA from 1 species
CUCCUCUAACAAAUACUGUAAUCCUUGUCUACCACUUGGUCUACACCGGUCGGAUCGUUGAUACUAACCAUUAAAUUCGAAAACUUGAGCUGUUAGAAAUACGCAACCAAUUCACUUAAAGCGUCCAGAUACAACGCCCAUAGGUCUCAAUUAUGACUCGGUCCAACUAGUCUCAUGCCACUUCGAACAUGAUUCGGCCCAAUUCAGUCUCACGCUAUUUCGAACAUAACUCGGCCCACAUAGCCUCCCGACACAGGGCAAGAUGCUGGCCCAUGUAAGCCAACAUACAUCAACUCUAUAUCCAAAUUUAUAUCCUAUAGAAUUAGCAUUUAA